GGCCUAUAACUUCACAAUUGGUCAUGUUUUUUCGAAGCAGUUCUAGGUGGAUAGCAAAAUGCAGUAUUUGAACCUACUAUUGGUAAAAAAACAGCCUGGUAGACCAAAGAAGCAGAGGAAGAAGGGUCCAAAUGAACCUACAAAUCAGCAUAAAGCAAGCAGGAAGAGUCUGGCAGUCUACUGCCGGAGGUGUUUGAAAUCUAAACAUAACAUUAGAACCUGCAAAUCAGCAAUUCACCCUAUGUCCAAGCUUUACAAGAUAAUGUAACAUUUCAGAGCCAAAUCAUUUCUCUAGUUUGUUUUGUUGCUGCUUAUACAUCCAGCCAUUUCAAUGUGAACUAUAGGCACUAAAACCUGGUCCAACAGCUUCAAAUGCAACAAUCGUAGCUUCCGUAGCUCAGGUUAGUGUCUCAAGUACUACUGCUACUACUCUCUCACAUGUACUAGUUUCAAUUGCCUAUUUUUGGGUGUUGUGAUCUACUUGCAUACUAAGCAAUGCCACUUAUAAGCAGGAACCAAGUUAGCCUAUAAGUGGUACCAAUCAAGAAAGCUAGAAGAGUAGAUCUUCAAAGAAGAAGCAACCAGCUGCAAGAAUGUCAAGAUUGCGACAUUGUGGCUCCAAGAGACCAAGAAAAUGAACUGUAGUUAUCUCUCUUUUGUUUGUUGAAUAUACUGGUUAUGUUAACCACAUUGAUCCCUUCUGGGAUUGAAUUGUAAUAUUUUUUAAGCUAGAAAACUCAGAUUUUUGGUUAUGUUUUGGUAGAUUGAUACCAUUAUGGUAUGGAUGUGGUAAUAUACUGCCUUUUUGUGGCAGUAUUGCUGGUGAACCUUUUUGGGAUUGGAUUAUAAUAUUUAUUCAAACUAGAAAACUCAAAA
rnacentral:lncRNA from 1 species